rnacentral:lncRNA from 10 species
UCUGUUUCCAGGUAGUGGGCAAACAGGAAGUUACCCCAGGCUACCCACCUCCCAGCUGCAAAAGGAACCUGCUUGCCUCAGUAACCAUGGCAAGUCCAGAUGGCUGCCUUAGGAUCAGAUGUAAACCUUGGAGAAACCAGCUGUGGCCAGUAUGUCAAGUUUAAGCAGACAAAUGAAGGUGACCUGUGGGGGGAAUACACAUUUUGAAACUGAAAAGAGAUGGUAUGUGGGGAUGUACGGAGAACUUGUUGGAGUCUCUGUUGUGGACAACGCUUUAUGUGGUUUCAAGCUUCACAUACAAAAAAAAAGAAGGAAAGUGGCAGCACCCAAAAAAGGUCAAAACAAGGCAAGGAUCUCUGCUCUCGACCCAUCUAUUCAAUAUUGAACUAGAGGUCCCAGAUG